UAGAAGCAGCCAUCAUUUAAAGAAAGCGUAAUAGCUCACUGGUCGAGUCGGCCUGCGCGGAAGAUGUAACGGGGCUAAACCAUGCACCGAAGCUGCGGCAGCGACGCUUAUGCGUUGUUGGGUAGGGGAGCGUUCUGUAAGCCUGUGAAGGUGUGCUGUGAGGUAUGCUGGAGGUAUCAGAAGUGCGAAUGCUGACAUAAGUAACGAUAAAGCGGGUGAAAAGCCCGCUCGCCGGAAGACCAAGGGUUCCUGUCCAACGUUAAUCGGGGCAGGGUGAGUCGACCCCUAAGGCGAGGCCGAAAGGCGUAGUCGAUGGGAAACAGGUUAAUAUUCCUGUACUUGGUGUUACUGCGAAGGGGGG
rnacentral:rRNA from 1 species